rnacentral:lncRNA from 1 species
UGUCGUGAUGCGGAUCAUUUUUAUGGUAAGACAUUACAAUAACACGUUUGUUGUUUCUCAGCAGCUACAGGCAUGUACUGCAUGCACUAUCCAGCACACCACAAACAAACUAACAAAACAAACAAAGGCCCGUAUAUUGACACGUUGUUGUCUUUUUUUCUUUCGUUUAUUACUACUGUACACUGUAUUUUAGAAUAAUACCACGAUGUACUACAGUCCCCAUAAUGCAUCAGGGAUAGGACUAGAACAUCUUCAGAUUGGUUACAAAUCAGACAGACAGACAGACAGACAGACAGACAGAUUCACACUCAGUUUCAUUCUCAACAUCAUCAUCAACAUCAUCAUCCUCAACAUCUUCAUCCUCAUCAACAUCUUCAUGAACAUCACCUUCAUCCUCAACAUCAUCUUCAUCAACAUCAUCAUCAUCUCAUCCCACAUUCCACAUGUCUAGACCUAUAGUGCAGAGAUCCCAGCCACUAUCUAUCAGUGAUGUGUAGUCAUGGAUACCAUAGGAAGCCAGGCUUCCCCAAAUAUUUGACCAAUAAAAAACAUUUAAAUGUAUCUUUCAUCUCUCUCUCUCUGUGUUCUCAUCAUUUUUCGUUUAUUCGCAAGUGGCUGAAUCUCACCGGAGAAAUCAUCUGAGCGAGAGGAACAGCGGCCCUCUGUGUAGUCCAUGUAUCUGAUGCUGUCUGGAACAAAAGAGUAUGAAGUGUUGCUGCCAUAGCAUUUGACUGAUUGAUGCCAGCAAGCAUUUGGCCUUCCUUGAUAAAAAAAAAAAUGAAUAAAAUAAUUAGCCAAUCAGCGUUAAGCUGAGCUCAACUGUGGGAUGUUCUGGUGCAGCAAACCCCCCAACCAAUCAAAUCACAUUCUAAGAAAAAAGUCAUUUUUGUUUCUGGCCUACUUGUGUUGAUAUCCUGCAGUAGCUAGCUUGCUAAAUCAGCCCUUCCCUAAGCCAUGGAUGGAGAUGGGGAUUUAGACUUGUGGUUUUGACUUAAAUCUCUCUACAGGCCAAUGAUUAUGAUGGCGAUUCUGAUCUAACCAUGAAUUAAUAUAUUGUACCACUGGCCUGAGACAAUUGAAGUUCAAGAUGUAGCCUAGUAGGCUCACAUUAACUAACUAGCUAACUAGCUAACUAAGCUGGCUCAUUGUUGCCCAUGCGAGGAAGUUAGCAUUCUAGCUAGGUAGCCUAUGACAAUAACAACUUAAAGAGUACUGUAUGACAGAGCCAUUGACUGUUUUGCCAAACAUGUAAGAGAGGAGGAUGGCAUUGGAGUUCAACUAAGCAUAUAUAGCCUUGUUGAUUUGAUGUGAAUGUUUCAGUUGAAAUGGUGCUGUAAUAGCGCCGUCAAUACUCUCCUUGUCUUUGUGCUGACUUGCGGUAACUCAGUGGUUCUAAAUCAGUAGUUGUUUAGUAAAACUGUCGAAAACAUUAACUUGUUGGACCAUGUUCCAGGUCAUGUAACUGUUUGUGACAUGCAAUAUUUGCUUUGUGGACUUCACCGGACAGAUGUUGCUCUCCGAGUUUUGUGAUGAAACAAACGUACAGUACCAGCCAAAAGUUUGAACACACCUACUUAUUCAAAGGUUUUUUUCUUAAUUUUUUACAAUUUUCUACAUUGUACAAUAAUAGUGAAGACAUCAAAAUGAUGAAAUAACACAUAUGGAAUCAUGUAGUAACCAGAAAAGUGUUAAACAAAUCAAAAUAUGUUAUAUUUUAGAUUCUCAAAGUAGCCACCCUUUGCCUUGAUGACAGCUUUGCAAACUCGUGGCAUUCUCUCAACCAGUUUCAUGAGUUAGUCACUUGGAAUGCAUUUAAAUAAACAGGUGUGCCUUGUUAAAAGUUAAAUAUUGGAAUUUAUUUCCAUCUUAAUGCGUUUGAGCCAAUCAGUUGUGUUGGCCCUAUUUGGUAAAAGACCAAGUCCAUAUUAUGGCAAGAACAGCUCAAAUAAGCAAAGAGAAAUGACAGACCAUCAUUGCUUUAAGAUAUGAAGGUCAGUCAAAGCGGAGUAACAUUUCAAGAACUUUGAAAGUUUCUUCAAGCGCAGUCACAAAAAACAUUAGGCGCUAUGAUGAAACUGGCUCUCAUGAGGACCGCCACAGGAAAGGAAGACCCAGAGUUACCUCUGCUGCAGAGGAUAAGUUCAUUAGAGUUAACUGCACCUCAGACUGCAGCUCAAAUAAAUGCUUCACAAAUAUCAAACUCAACUGUUCUGAAACCGCAGGAAUCGGGCCUUCAUGGUCGAAUUGCUGCAAAGAAACCACAACUAAAGGGACACCAAUAAUAAUAAGAGACUUGCUUUGGCCAAGAAACACGAGCAAUGGACAUUAGACCGACAUUAGACCAGUGUAUGUGUAUUUCCCUCCGUGAAGCAUGGAGGAGGAGGUGUUAUGGUGUGGGGUUGCUUUGCUGGUGACACUGUCAGUGAUUUAUUUAGAAUUCAAGGCACACUUAACCAGCAUGGCUACCACAGCGAUACGCAAUAUCAUUUGUUUUUCAACAGGACAAUGACCCAACACACUUCCAGGCUGUGUAAGGGCUAUUUGACCAAGAAGGAGAGUGAUGGAGCGCUGCAUCACCCGACCUCAACUCAUUUGAGAUGGUUUGGGAUGAGUUGGACCACAGAGUGAAGUAAAAGCAGCCAACAAGUGCUCAGCAUAUGUGGGAACUCCUUCAAGACUUUUGGAAAAGCAUUCCAAGUGUAGUUGGUUGAGAGAAUGCCAAGAGUGUUUAAAGCUGUCAUCAAGGCAGAAGGGUGGCUACUUUGAAGAAUCUCAAAUAUAAACUAUAUUUUGAUUUGUUUAACACUUUUUGGUUACUACAUUAUUUCAUGUGUUAUUUCACAGUUCUGAUAGAGUCACUAUUAUUCUACAAUGUAGAAAAUAGUAAAACAAACAAAGAAAAACCCAUGAAUGAGUAGGUGUGUCCAAACUUUUGACUGGUACUGUAUGUUUAGUUGAAUUUAUUCCGCCACUGUGAGACUGUUGUCUUUUUGUUGUCAUGGUCUUAUUGUAUAUCAUGGUGGAGUAAGAACUAAUGGGUUAUAGAGAAAUUAUCACAAUAUAGGUUUUAAUACGGAUUUUCUACUGGGCUAGCUUGUCCAGUGAUUUUACCCACACACCACUACUGCUAUCUAUAGGCCGUCUAUAGGCCGAGCGCAAACAAAAAUAAGUUGUUUACACAUGUUAAAGCGCACAAUGCAUUGUUGUUCAGCCUCAUGGCAGUUUAAAGGGGGUGUUGGUUUUGUAUACAGGGUUCAGAGGAGUCACAGAGCAAGAGAGAAUGGACCUGGUAGUUACGACCCUGGUGGUUACGACCCUGGUGGUUACGACCCUGGUGGUUACAACCCUGGUGGUUACAACCCUGGUGGUUACAACCCUGGUGGUUGUAACACAGGAAAUAAAACAAAUAUUCAAAACUCCUUGCACACAGAACACCCAGCUGGUGAUGGUGAUAUAACUGAGUAGAACAAUCCUUCUACACCAGACUGACAACAUUACCAACAUCCUUCUCCCUGGUAGUUCAAACCCUAACAUACACACGCUCACGUGAAGCCUUCCCUGGCCCUCUUGUCUUGACUGGCCGAUCAGAAGGGAUCUCACUGGGAGGCAGUGAUUCUGUGUGUCUGUGUGUGGGUGUGAUCAGGAGGUGGCUUUGGGGAAAGUUCAGAUGGAUAGUCUCCGAUACCUGUACCUCUGUGUUUUAAGAAUGGCAGGUUUACACAUGCCAUGCAUCUCAUUCUGUUUCUCUGUUUCUCACUACCAGUCUGCAACUAAAGUGUCUUCUGAUAUAUCCAGAAGUAUUCAACAGUAAUACAAACAAUUAGUUGAUAAAUAGUACAUGACAAAUACAUUAUCCGUGUGCAAAUCAGGGUAAACAUAUAUAUAUAUAUACAUUAUAUAGAAUAUUAACAACAAAAACACAACUUGCAAUAAAUAAUACAUAUUUAAAUACACAAAAUAAUACAUAGCAUAAAUAAUCUUUCAAAACGGAAAUAAACUGUAUAAAAAUAGUUGCUACAUAAUACCUAAAAUGUAGUAUUUUUCCCCAAUAAUAUUUUCCAUUCUGUGUUAGUGAAUGUAACUGACCACUGGACAGACCACAACAGAACAGACAUAUUGAGAUGAAGGUAUAUAGAAUUGAGAUGAAGGUAUAUAGAACUCGGCAACCCAUGUAGAUACAGUCAGACCUGGUUUCAAAUACUAUUUGAAAUCUUUUAAAUAUUUAUUUUAAUUCGCAUCAAGGCCAUCAUACCAGGCACACUGGACCCACUCCAGUUGACCAUUUCCAUCGCUCUUCACACGGCCCUAACACAUCUGGACAAGAGGAACACCUAUGUGAGAAUGCUGUUCAUUCACUACAGUUCAGCCUUCAACACUAUUGUUCCCUCCAAGCUCGACACCAAGCUCAGAGCCGUGGGUCUGGACACUACCCUCUGAAACUGGAUCCUGGACUUCCUGACGGGCAGACCACAGACUGUGAAUAUUGUCAACAACACCUCCUGCACACUGACUCUUAACACAGGUGUCCCCCAGGGGUGUGUCCUCAGCUCUUAACACAGGGGCCCCCAGGGGUGUGUCCUCAGCUCUUAACACAGGGGCCCCCAGGGGUGUGUCCUCAGCUCUUAACACAGGGGUCCCCCAGGGGUGUGUCCUCAGCUCUUAACACAGGGGUCCCCCAGGGGUGUGUCCUCAGCUCUUAACACAGGGGCCCCCCAGGGGUGUGUCCUCAGCCCUCUGCUGAUCCACUAGUUCUUCAGCGUCCACAUCACAGAGGACUUGACAUGGACCAACACCACCACCACUCUAGUCAAGACAGCGUAACGGUGUCUCUACUUCCUAAGGCGGCUGUAGAAAUUCGACGUGCCACCCGGGGUCGUCUCCAAAUAUUACCGUUGCACCAUCGAGUGUCCUGACCGGUUGCAUUACAGCCCGGUUACGGGAAUUGUUCCGUCCACGACCGAAAGGCCCUCCAGCGGGGGGUGAAGACGGCCCAGUACAUCACUGGGAUUGUGCUCCCAUCCAUCCAGGACAUCUACUGGAAACGGUACCUGAUGAAGUCCCGCAGCAUCAUCAAGGACCCCACACACCCCAACAUGAGGUCACUUCCUGCCAUGAGCUGUUCAUUCCCUUACUGUUGGGCAGACGGUAUCAGAGCAUGAGGUCUGAUACCAACAGGUUCAGAGACAGUUUCUAUCUACAAGCCAUCAGACUGUAUCAGAGCAUGAGGUCUGAUACCAACAGGUUCAGAGACAGUUUCUAUCUACAAGCCAUCAGACUGCUGAACACUUGAACAAGACUGACCACCUGCACUCUCAGCACACACACACACACACACACACCUGUUGCUACCAGACUACAUACUGCACAAUUUAAACACUCCCCCCUCUCCAAAACACAUGUAAAAAUGGAACUAUAAAUGGUCCCUUCCUGUAUUAUACUGAUGCUAAAAUGUUUAUUCUACUGAGCCAUUUACUUUAUAUUCGUAUUCUUGUAUUAAUUAUUAUUGUUGUUGUCGAGAAGGCACCUGCAAGUAAGCAUUUCAUUGGAUGGUGUAUGCCAUGUAUAUCCUUGUACAUACGACCAAUAAAACAUGAAACUAGUGUUUUCUCUAGUCUACCUGGAGUGCCAGAUGGGUGGAGUUUGAACACUUGCAAUUCGUCUAUUGGUUCCAUUCUGCCAGACAAGCUCAAUCAAGCCCAGCUAAAGUAUUUGGAAGAUUUCAAGUAGUAUGUGAGCCCAUGUCUGAAUACAGUAAUACAAUAUGUUACAGCUCCAAAAUAACCCUUUCUCUCUCUCUGUAUAGAUCGAUGCAUAGAAAAGCACUGAAAAUAAAAUAAAAGUCCUGAUUUUAUUUUUUGCCAGACUUUUCCUAGUUCUCAGACACUAGUAGUUUGCUUUCAUAUCAGAUAACUUAUUUGAUGUAAACCAUGAGUUACUGCAUUAAAGUCAUCACACAUUAAAGCAUACAUUACUCUGAAAGCCAGCCGUGAAGUAGCCUUUGUCCCAGAACAGUUCGUCCUUCCAACUACUCCAUUGGUAUUGGUAUCCAUUCCAGAAGGAGUUGGCAAGAGAGCCGAAAACAGCCUGGCACUCAGACUAGCCUUGAAGUGCUCGGGUUGAAGCGUCCGCAUACAACAGGCAUGCUUGUUUGCGUCUGACUGUAGCAGCUGUUAUUCUAUAGUCAGGGUAAUAUACACACAUACAAGUACAACACAGAGCCUGCAGUAGGAAGUUUGAGGAUGACCUAUAAACCUUAACUCAUCUACUGACUGUAUAUCAGCAUGAUGCUGCUGUACGCUUCAUCUGAGGUUCUGAGUCAUGGCGUUUAAACCACUGCUAACAACACAGGGAUCGUGAUCCGCCCCCUGCCUACAGUACUCUGUCCAUUCCAUCUAGACCUGAGCAGAGACAUAUUUACAAAUAUGGAAAUAUAUAUCUCAGAGCCUGACAACACCACAGGACAUACUGGAAGCAAGAGAAGAAGUCAGCUGUUGUCUUUAUAGUGAGGACAUCAGGGUUGGGGUCAAUUUCAUUUCAUUUCAGUCAAUUCAGGAAGUAAACAGGAACUGAUCCUAACCCUUAUUAAGGAGGUGAAAGAAACAGCUGUCUGAUAUGUUAACCAGCUCAGAUAGCAACUAGGACUACUACACAACCACUAGAAGUAUGACACCAGCCAUAUAGUAAAAGUCGUAGGCCGUCACUGUAAAUAACUGACUUGCCUAGUUAAAUAAAAGGUUAAAAAAAUACAAAAUAAUAAUAAUAAUAAUAUGUGUUAUUUCAUUGUUUUCAUGUCUCACUAUUAUUCUACAAUGUAGAAAUAGUAAAAAAUAAAGAAAAACCAUUGAAUGAGAAGGUGUUCUAAGACUUUUGACUGGUACUGUACAUGAAUUGUACAGAGUGAAAAAUGUAAAGUAUGAGUAGGUUCAUUAGAAAUGUAUUAAGGCUAUGCCGUGUGCGUUUACUUCUAUCAAUCUUCAAUUGCAAGGUGGUUGUUAGGUCAGGUUAUUGUCUAUUUUCCAACAGAUUUAACCCAAAAUAGCCCUAAAAGAUCAUCUCAUUUACCCACCACUAAAGCCUCCAGGAAUGAGGAGGAGCAGCAGGAGUGCGCCCUAGUGGCCACACAGAACACCACACGCUCAUCCAAAAGGGUCAAAGGGCUCAGAGGAAGAGAAAGCUGCCAAUGCUAGUGGUUCAUUUACAGUUCUUUCUAUACCACUGUUCCUACACUCCCAUACAUAGCCUAUAUAGUACAGUACGUUAUAUUCAUAUCACCAACAAAUGAUUAAACAAACGGUUCAAGAGAGUAGACGGACAGUCAGCAAGCAGAAUUGGGGAGAGGUGGGGGGGAAAGGAGGAGAGAGGGGGAGGGGGAGGGCUACAGAGAGUUCUACGGAGAGAGGAAGAGGGAGAGAGACGGUCUUACUGGGAAAGGGGGGCAGGAGAGGGAGAGAGACGGUAUUACUGGGAAAGGGGGGGCAGGAGAGGGAGAGAGACAGUAUUACUGGGAAAGGGGGGGCAGGAGAGGGAGAGAGACAGUCUUACUGGGAAGGGGGGGCAGGAGAGGGAGAGAGACGGUAUUACUGGGAAGGGGGGCAGGAGAGGGAGAGAGACGGUAUUACUGGGAAAGGGGGCAGGAGAGGGAGAGAGACAGUAUUACUGGGAAAGGGGGGCAGGAGAGGGAGAGAGACGGUCUUACUGGGAAAGGGGGGCAGGAGAGGGAGAGAGACGGUAUUACUGGGAAAGGGGGGAAGGAGAGGGAGAGAGACGGUAUUACUGGGAAAGGGGGGGCAGGAGAGGGAGAGAGACGGUAUUACUGGGAAAGGGGGGGCAGGAGAGGGAGAGAGACGGUAUUACUGGGAAAGGGGGGAAGGAGAGGGAGAGAGGCGGUAUUACUGGGAAGGGGGGGCAGGAGAGGGAGAGAGACGGUAUUACUGGGAAAGGGGGGGCAGGAGAGGGAGAGAGACGGUAUUACUGGGAAAGGGGGCAGGAGAGGGAGAGAGACAGUAUUACUGGGAAAGGGGGGCAGGAGAGGGAGAGAGACAGUAUUACUGGGAAAGGGGGGCAGGAGAGGGAGAGAGACAGUAUUACUGGGAAAGGGGGGGCAGGAGAGGGAGAGAGACAGUAUUACUGGGAAAGGGGGGCAGGAGAGGGAGAGAGACGGUAUUACUGGGAAAGGGGGGCAGGAGAGGGAGAGAGACGGUAUUACUGGGAAAGGGGGGCAGGAGAGGGAGAGAGACGGUAUUACUGGGAAAGGGGGGCAGGAGAGGGAGAGAGACGGUCUUACUGGGAAAGGGGGGCAGGAGAGGGAGAGAGACAGUAUUACUGGGAAAGGGGGGAGGAGGGUGCUCAGAAGGUCACUGAUCAGCAGCAUGCAGAUUUAUGAGGGCGGUCUUGGCAGAACCGGAUGCCUGGAGAGAGAGAGAGAGAGAGAGAGAGAAAGAGAGAGAGAGAAAGUAAGAAAGAGAAAGAAAGAAAGAAAGAAAGAAAGAAAGAAAGAAAGAAAGAAAGAAAGAAAGAGAGAGAGAGAGAAACAAACAAUGCAAUGAGUCCCAUAAACAGAACCAGGUGUACAUUAUAUGUCUUAUAUGGAAUCUUUAUUGUGAAAAACUGUGGGAUGAAUUUCACCAGUCUAAUAUGCUAAAUAUGCUGAAAUCACAUUUAAUAUGCUGCAUUUCCUCCUAGCCAAUCAGAAGGCAAGAUGAAGCCAAAAUAACAAUAAUUCUUAUAUGGACCCAAUAUUAGGUAUGUAAGUGGCUCACUCACUAUAUGGAACUCUGAAUAAAUAUAUUCAGUGUUCCCUCUGUUUCCCAGAGAUAGAGAGAAAUAGAGAGAGAGGGAGAAAGAGAGGUAGAGAGAAAGAGAGAGAAAAAGAGAGUGGGAGAGAGAGAGAAAGAGAGAGAGAUAGCAAGAAAGAGGGCGACAAAGAGAGAGAACAGCAGAGAGAAAGAGAGAGAUAGAGAGAGAAAAGGAGAGUGAGAGAAAGAUAGAAAACGAGAGUGGGAGAGAGAGAGAAAGAGAGAAAAAGAGAGAAAGAUAGCAAGAGAGAGAGAGGGAGAGAAAGAGAGAGUGACAAAGAGAGAGAGAGAUCUAGAGUUUAUCUAGUUCACUUCCCAAGCCAAUAAAGCCCUUAAAUUGAAAUUGAAUUGAGAGAGAGAGAGAGAGAGAUGGAGAGGGCAGGUGUAUAGAAAUACACAAGUUAAUGAAUCUGCCAUCUUAGAUUAUGUCUGUUAUGAAAUACUCAUUCAAUAUUCUCCCUAUUCCCUUCCUCCCUUCCUCCCUCACGUGAGGAGCCGGGUCACUAGCUGGUAGCCUGUUCUGGCUGGAUGACGUGGUGCAGCUUGGCUGGGCUGUCCUGGUUCUGGCUGUUGCAGUGCUGCACAUCACUCCUGGACACAGCAGCAGAGUGGACACUCA